UACGGAGGGUGCAAGCGUUAAUCGGAAUUACUGGGCGUAAAGCGUGCGUAGGCGGAAUUUUAAGUCUGAUGUGAAAUCCCCGGGCUUAACCUGGGAACUGCAUUGGAUACUGGGAUUCUAGAGUAUGGUAGAGGGUGGCGGAAUUUCUGGUGUAGCGGUGAAAUGCGUAGAUAUCAGAAAGAACACCAAUGGCGAAGGCAGCCACCUGGGCCAAUACUGACGCUGAGGUACGAAAGCGUGGGGAGCAAACAGG
rnacentral:rRNA from 1 species